AGAGCUGUGCUCCUCUCAUGAAGUUAGCGGCGGACGGGUGAGUAACACGUGGGUAACCUGCCCAUAAGACUGGGAUAACUCCGGGAAACCGGGGCUAAUACCGGAUAACAUUUUGAACCGCAUGGUUCGAAAUUGAAAGGCGGCUUCGGCUGUCACUUAUGGAUGGACCCGCGUCGCAUUAGCUAGUUGGUGAGGUAACGGCUCACCAAGGCAACGAUGCAUAGCCGACCUGAGAGGGUGAUCGGCCACACUGGGACUGAGACACGGCCCAGACUCCUACGGGAGGCAGCAGUAGGGAAUCUUCCGCAAUGGACGAAAGUCUGACGGAGCAACGCCGCGUGAGUGAUGAAGGCUUUCGGGUCGUAAAACUCUGUUGUUAGGGAAGAACAAGUGCUAGUUGAAUAAUCUGGCACCUUGACGGUACCUAACC
rnacentral:rRNA from 1 species